rnacentral:misc_RNA from 1 species
UGUUUUUCCAUGUGAAGAAAUUUUAUUUUUUCCUGUACAGAAAGAAGUAGCAUUUUACAAAAAUCUGUUAAGUGACUUACAUUAGAUCAGCUUAAUCUUUUUUAUAACAAAGUAUAAUUACCCUGUUAGUAAACCAAGUAACCUGCCUAGAAGUAAGGCUGGGCUCUUUCUAUGUAUCUACUCCAUCCAGAAAAGACCCCAAAAUAUACUGUCUUCUGCGUUUACCACAGCAAAAUAAUUAGAUGGUUACUACACAUGCGCCAUGUAUUGAUCCCUAUUUCAAAAAUUCUAAUAACAUGGUCCUUCCAUCUGGCGCAAAGUAAAAAAGCCAAUAGCCAAUAACCCUGAUCACAUUUUCCAGCUUUCAACACACUCAGUUGGGAUACAGCUUGAUUUAUCAGCUUCCCAUUGAUGAUGAGGAAGGACCAUCGGACCAAUGGCCAUCACUUCACCAACCACCACUUCCACCUCCAGACCAUCCAUCAUUACCAGACUCUGAUUGUGAAGAACCUCUUUUGAAGCCAGUACCCCAACCAGAACUCCCAUUGUCAGAGCCGCCGCCACCACCACUUCCCCAGCCACCAGGAAAAGCCUCCCUUCCAGGUGAAUUCUGGACCUUAGAACCAGGGAAACUGCCCCAACCUCUAUCACCAUCCUUGGCAUCUGAAUCCCAUCUGGAAUUAUUAUAACCAGAAUCCUGCCUGUCAUUGCUAUUGUUAUUUCCUCUGCUGUUAUAAGAGCCACGACCAUGUCCUUGCCCACCAUAUGGCCUUGGUAACCCACUCUGAUGACUGUCUCGACUUCUAUAAUCAUUUCGGCCUGUUCUGGCGCCUGGCACAGAAGAACGAUCUCUGUCAAAAGACUGGCCUCUCCAGCCACCAUCAUUUGCAGAACCACCCCAGCCACUACCCGUGGAUGCCCCUGAAGAGCCCCCAGUUGCAGGGCUUCGCAUUGGUACCAUGGCAGCAACUGAUCUAAUAGACGGUGCAGAUUCAUGCAUGGGAUCAUCAAUGUGCCUCUGAAAAUAUGCCACAAGCCGAUCAAUGUCUUCAAACAUCCUUUUCCGAAACUUGAAUCCCUUGGGAUAUAGACCAACGUACUCGUGAUGUGGAUUUGUGCUCCUAAUGUAAGUCAGAAUAAAAGUGCCUGGAUGUUCAUGAGAAAUCCCAAAAGAGUAAACUAUCCUCAUAGGAUAAUCCGAUUUCUCAAUCCUGAGUUGCUCAUCAACUUCUGCUUUAGUGCCCCUUCUGAACUUGCGAUAACUUAGCAUUGCCUUUAGAUGAGCCACCAAGGGAUCAACAUACCGGUCCAUUACCUACAUUUAAAGGGAUAUAUCAUUUUUACUUUUGUGGCCAUUUCAAAUAAACUGGGAUAUAAAGGCAAAAUUGCCUCGACCCCUCAACUAAGAAUGUUUGAGAUAAUGGAGACAAACCUCAUCCAAAUCCUCAAAAGUGUCCUCCCCAAUUUUCAGGGUCUUACCAAUUCGAAGUAAACUUGUAAUGUCCUUGUGUUCCUUUCCACCUUCAACUAUGUCUUUGUGAGCAUAAACUCCAUCAUAAACCUUAAGAGUUAGAGUUAAAUACGAUGGCCCACGAGAACUUGGACGAAUGAUACUUUCUCCAGGAUCCUUGUCAGAUAAAAACUCCAUUGCUUCGUCAGCUGUUAUGUUCUGGAAGCGAGGGUGAACAAUCAUCCUAGGCUUAAAGUGUUUCUUUGCAAGCUCCUUCUCUUUGCGAGCCUUUUCUUGCUCACUCUGAAGACUACUUCGAUCUUCAUGGUAAUAUGGAUCAAGGUUUCGGACCUGCUGAUAUCGAUUACUCCUCAUCUCUCUCUCUCUACAAACUAAAAACACCUGAUAUCUAUUCUUUUGGAUUGAUUUGAUCUUGCAAGUGAGUAUGUCACCUUCAUGCAGCCUGUCAGACAACUCAGGCAUAUCCCUCCAAUCAUCUGCAUAGUCUUCCUUUGUAAGCAUACCAGUCAAUCCAGAUUCCAGCACACAUAUUGCCCUUCCACCUUGCACCCUGCGAACGGUAGCCUGUACUAUUCUCCCUUCAGCAAGGGUAUCCUCAGUUUCACCUGAUAUCAUAUAAAAUUCCUCAUCCUGACUUGGUUCUUUAUACUGUUUACGCCAAUCCUGAAAACCCUGUAUCAAUUCUAAUUGUAUAUACUUGAAAGUCUCCUUCUUAUUUUCACGCUUCUUAUCAUGGAGAUACACAUCAAGAUCAAGGUUUUUCAAUAAAUUAGGCCGGUCUCUAACAUGCUCUAUUGCCAUUUCCAGUGCCUCAUCAUCAUCAUUUGUGUCACCAUUGUCCAUUUCAUAAACAUCCUUAGCCAUCUCCUGUGCCAGUCCGUAAGAUUCUGGAUGUAUCCUCGUAUCAUCCAAUAAAUCAAUAAAUUGGCUGCUGCUUGCAGCUAAACCACUACGCCGGACACGCAAGAAACCAACUGCAUUAACAAACACCUUUUUACCGAGUCCAUGUACUGUCACAAAGUCUUUUCUAGUGAAAAUUGCUCCAGCCCUCACCAGAGACCUCUGUAAAGAUGCUGCCUUUCUAGGGCCAAGCCCAGCAAUGAACUGUAAAGGGGCAAAUAACCAUUCAUGGCUUGUAGCCAUAUUAAUAUCGAGCCCUACCUGGUUAGUAACAUCUACCAUAACCUGUUCAACCAUUGCAUAUUUCUCAUCAGGGUUGAGAAAAUUCUCCAACGAGCUGAGCUUCCAAGACAAAAUCUCCCUUGCUGGUCCACAGAGUGUUGCAACUGUUGCCAACGGAUUUUGCAGAUAACGGCCAAGAGCAGCAGCCCGCCUAACAAUGCCUGGCUGCCCAGCUAGUUGGUCAGAAGAAAUCCGAGAAUUUUCAUAAAGGCGAGGCAGAGACUCAUCACCAUACACAAUGCUUAAUUCAUCCAUCUCAUGUCCAACAUCUCUCGGAUUUUCCUCCACCAUCUUAAAAAUGAUCUCAUAUAUAUCAUCCUUCAGCCUAGUACAAGACAAAUUCACAGCUCCUAAAACCACAACAUGUGGUUGGUGAUCAGUCAUGAACUUCAAAACACGUUGCUGGUCAUUUUUCUUAUUUUGCUGGUCAUUAAUAUUUUGAGAACGCAAGGUGAGGGACCCAGCGUAAAGUACAUCUAGCACCUCCCCUGAUGAAUCUAGCAUCACAAAAGUGGUUGCUGGCUUCCCAGGGCCCCAGCAGCAGGCCAUGACCCUUGGUGCAGCUUCAUCAUCUGAAGAAACAUCAUUUUCUUUGCGUUGAUAUGGACCCACAGAAACUUUAUUCCACAAAGCCUUUCCAUACUCCCAAAGCAACCAGCUUUUAGCUCUACUUGUUAACAAGGAUCUUGCUUCUUUCUCCAUUGAAGGUAACAAAUAAGUGUACAGAGCAUCCUUCAAUAUCAAUGUCCUCUGCUCAUUCCAGAGUUGAGCAGACUUACUAACACCAUCACUAAGAUAAUGCUCAUUGCAGUCACCAAUCAACUUAUUCAUGUAUUUUUCUGGAAGCUUAAAAGUUAUUUGAAGAAGCUUCUCUUCUUCAGCCUUUUGAAUGAGAAACCAUUGAGCAUCCUCAAAUUUGUUAAUUGGUUUUUCACGCAACCACUUCACACCCGCAAAUUGAUGAAAAGAAUCUAUUGCAACAUUUCCAUCUGGCGUUGGGCUUGUGGAUACCACAGCAUUUUCCAUGUACAUACUACGGACAUAUUUUCUGAUACUUGGCUCACAGCUUAUUUCAACCGCAGCCAUGUGCCUGGCCCCUUUAAGAACCGCUUGGGGAGUUUCAAACAUUGCACAUGUAAAGUUUGACGCCAUCUCCUCUGGUGUUUCCUUAGCAUUCUCCAAUAUUUCCCCCAUCUUUUCUAAGGACAAGCCCAUUCCAAGUUGCUCAGCACUGCACCCAAACUUGCUUGCAACUUCCCAUAGUCCAGCCCUGCUGCAGGUACUAUAUUGGGAUCUCCUUUUGGGCCUCUUAUACUGUCCUUCAUCAACACCUGCCUCACCUGGAGGAAAAUGCAAGUUAAACUUUGCAUCAACAUCAUCAACCUCUCUUUCCGAUUCCGCAUCCUUGAGCGACUUAAGAAUGGAAACAAAAAGCUGCUGAUUUAAAUUGAGUCUUGUCUCAUCAUAUAUUCGUCGAGAUUCUUCUUCGAAUCGCUUAUUAUAAUACAAUUCGAGAGCAGUCUUUCGUUUUUGAAGAAGUAACCACUUCCUAUCCAAGUCCUGAAUUGCCCAAAGCACCUUGUGCCACUUCAGCAUAGGUGCCCUGUCAGAUUUAUCAUGAUUCUCAUCAUCAACUUCAAGGUUCUCAGGAUCUUUCAAUAGGCUUGAACAUUCCUCCUUUCUAUACAUAGCAAUGAAGGGGACAUCUAGCUUCUGAACAUGGUGCAAUUCCAAAAAUCGAAUGAUGUCAUCCCUGUUUAAAGGCAAAUCCUGCUCUUCUUCAUGUGCCUCAUCUCUUCUCUUACGAAACAAGGGCACCGUACCAUUUGCAAGUUGAUUAUAUAUCCAGCUUCCCUCUUCUGUUAUACUGAUUUCAUCAGUUGGAGGAGAACCAGUGCCUUCCUCAGAUAUCUGCAUUCUUUCUGGAAUAUCGGUCAUCCGAAUCUCCUCAUCUUUCUCAGUCAUAUACUUCUCAGAAAGUACAGUAGGUUCAAAUUCCUUAUCCAAUCUGGUUUCCUUCCAUUCGCUAGAUUCUAAAUCUCGCUUGCGUCGCAGCAGGAAGUCAUCAACAUCACCAAAUAGUUCCUGAGCUUCCUGUAUAGCAGAUGAUGUAACUCCUGGUGCCUGCCUAGAUUUCUUUCUCUUCAGCUUCUUCCGUCUCAUUGGAGCUCCAUUCUCAUCAACUUCUUCGUCCACAAUAAAGUCAGCCAUUUCAUCCUCCUCGCCAAUGUCUCCAUCUUCUUCCUCCUCUGCCUCCUGCUCCUCUUCGGCAAUAUCCUCAAGGGGAACUCCUUCAUCAUCACCAAAUAAGGUGCGCUUAAGUUUCUCUUCAGCUGUUCGCCCACCUUUACCACUUCCGUCAAACUCCUCAUCAGAAAAACCAAAGCGCUCCUCAUCAGAAUCCCUCUGAGCUUUUUUCAACCGUUUAAAUUUUUUGCUAUCCUUUGGUCGGUGGUGGAAAGCAUUGUUGUCUCGAAGGAGCUCAUAAUCAUCUUCAUCAAGGACAUCCUCAGAUUCUCUUUUUUUCUUUUUCUUCCUCUUUUUGUGCCUUUCUUCAUCACUGUCUGCCCUCUCUUCUUCUUCAUCUACUUCUUCUUCUUCCUCAACAUCAUCUACUAUAAAAUCAUCCUUCUCAUAUUCAUCUUGCCCUUCCUCAUCUUCCUCAUCGUCAUCCUCGUGGUCCACUGCAUCAGCGUCGACAGGUUCCCUGUCAUAGUCUUCGAGCUCGACCUCAUCUUCUUCAUCAGAGACUAUGUUUUUGCCCAUAGUACUUGCUUAUUCCUCUUCGAGAGAAUUUG